UCCAACUGACCCCCCCACCCCACCCCAUGGGUCUCAGGAGACACAGGAAGCAGCAGACCAGGAAACAGUUGUCUAAACUUUAUGGUGGCUGAUCUACACUCAGACACCCACUCUCACGGCAUGGAGGCAUUCUUCUGUCACCGUGCUUCUGCCUCAGUGGGUGCAGGAUGAUGGAUGGCCGGGCUGCUGGAGGCGGAGAGAAAGAGCGCCGGCUGGGUCUGGGAAUUCGCUAAGUACUCCUGGGCGCUUCAACCUCAUCAUUGCGCACGACAACCCAUGAACCCAGGUAGAGCUGGCCAUGGAGGAUCCCAAAGAUUGCCCAGUGAGAGAACUUCGUUUUCAUGGUACUUUCUUCCCCAAAGCUCAAUGAUCAGCCAUCAUCUGGGGUUUGCUCUGAUUGGUUCAGUUUUCAACUAAUCUCCUUCAAGCCUCUUGUGAAGCUGACACUUGACAAUGGAUCACAGGCUGAAGUGUGGUGUGUGGCCAGUGUAUGCCAGUGCCUCAACACGGCUUUCUGAAGCAGAAGUCAAAUGAAUACUAAUAACAGCUAAAUGUGAAACACAAGGAAAAAUGGGACAAAACAACACCCUGGGUUUAUAAAGGACCAUAGAAUAAAUCUGAAUUUCCCUCAGCAUCCAUAAACCCAUCAUGUCGGUAGCUCCUCCAGGCUCUUUCUGACUAUCAGAGGUAGAGACUUUCUGUGUACCCACAGGAAAAAGAAAACAGCUCAUCAAGGCCUGGAGAACAAAGACCUCAUUUACAACCAGUGUUUCACUGAAUAGAGUGGUUUGGGGUAGCUGCCUCUGGGGGUGGGGCUGCUUUCAGAAGGAAGGCAGCAUGUGUGUGGCUUCUAUAUCUGAAGCAGACGACGGCAUGCUCCUGCAGAAGCCGCUGAAGCGUCUUUGCAAAGUUUAUUUUGCCAUGGGUUGUUUCUUCUUCAAGCAGUUGUAGUAUCGAUUUCUCCCAGAGGAUUAAUUAUCAGAGGCAGUCUCAGGCUUCGCUGAGAUGGGCGGAAGGAGAAAUGAUGUUUUCAUUUCCAGGAAGCCUGUUAGCCAUCGUGCCGGCUUUCUCUGGAGC